rnacentral:rRNA from 1 species
AACGGGUGAGUAAUGCGUGACCAACCUGCCCCAUGCUCCAGAAUAGCUCUUGGAAACGGGUGGUAAUGCUGGAUGCUCCAACUUGACGCAUGUCUUGUUGGGAAAGUGUUUAGUGGCAUGGGAUGGGGUCGCGUCCUAUCAGCUUGUAGCGGGGUAAUGGCCCACCUAGGCUUCGACGGGUAGCCGGCCUGAGAGGGCGGACGGCCACAUUGGGACUGAGAUACGGCCCAGACUCCUACGGGAGGCAGCAGC